rnacentral:rRNA from 1 species
UACAGAGGUCUCAAGCGUUUGUUCGGAUUCAUUGGGCGUAAAGGGUGCGUAGGCGGCGUGGUAAGUCGGAUGUGAAAUCUCGGAGCUUAACUCCGAAACUGCAUUCGAUACUGCCGUGCUUGAGGACUGGAGAGGAGACUGGAAUUUACGGUGUAGCGGUGAAAUGCGUAGAUAUCAGGAGGAACACCGAUAGCGAAGGCAGCUCGCUGGGACGGUACUGACGCUGAGGCGCGAAAGCGUGGGGAGCGAACAGG